GAUGAACGCUGGCGGCGUGCCUAAUACAUGCAAGUCGAGCGAACAGGUGAGGAUCUUGCUCCUCUGACGUUAGCGGCGGACGGGUGAGUAACACGUGUAUACCCUACUUAUAAUUGUGAUAUAACUACGGGAAAGCGGAUCUAAUACGAGAUAAUAUAUUGAACCGCAGUGGUCGAUGGUGAGAUACGGUGUUUCGGUCUCGUCUAGCUGGAUCCGCGCCGCUUGGGCUAGUUGGUGAGGUAGCGGCUUACCAAGGCAACGAGGCGUAGCCGAACGGAGAGAGUGAUCGGCCACACGGGAACGGAGACCCGGUCCAGACUCCUGCGGGAGGGAGCAGUAGGGAAUCUUCCGCAAUGGGCGAAAGCCUGGCGGAGCAAGGCCACGCGAGUGAUGACGGUCUUCGGAUCGUAAAACUCUGUUAUUAGGGAAGAACAAAUGUGUAAGGAACUAUGCACGUCUUGACGGUACCUAAUCAGAAAGCAACGGCUAACUACGUG
rnacentral:rRNA from 1 species